rnacentral:rRNA from 1 species
CACGUAGGGGGCGAGCGUUGUCCGGAUUUAUUGGGCGUAAAGAGCUCGUAGGCGGCUCAGUAAGUCGGGUGUGAAAACUCCAGGCUCAACCUGGAGACGCCACCUGAUACUGCUGUGGCUAGAGUCCGGUAGGGGAGCAUGGAAUUCCUGGUGUAGCGGUGAAAUGCGCAGAUAUCAGGAGGAACACCAGUGGCGAAGGCGGUGCUCUGGGCCGGAACUGACGCUGUGGAGCGAAAGCGUGGGGAGCAAACAGG